GCAUAGCUGGAGGAACCGCUGGUGUUGUGGUUGAAACAGCACUGUACCCAAUUGACACGAUAAAAACCAGGCUUCAGGCUGCUCGAGGUGGAAGCCGAAUUGAAUGGAAAGGCCUCUAUUCUGGAUUAGCUGGAAAUCUUGCUGGUGUUCUCCCGGCUUCUGCGAUAUUUGUGGGAGUGUAUGAACCUACUAAA